GGCCUUGACAUACUAAGAACUUUCCAGAGAUGGAUUGGUGGCCUUCGGGAACUUAGAUACAGGUGCUGCAUGGCUGUCGUCAGCUCGUGUCGUGAGAUGUUGGGUUAAGUCCCGCAACGAGCGCAACCCUUUUCCUUAUUUGCCAGCGGGUCAUGCCGGGAACUUUAAGGAUACUGCCAGUGACAAACUGGAGGAAGGCGGGGACGACGUCAAGUCAUCAUGGCCCUUACGGCCAGGGCUACACACGUGCUACAAUGGUCGGUACAAAGGGUUGCUACCUCGCGAGAGGAUGCUAAUCUCAAAAAGCCGAUCGUAGUCCGGAUCGCAGUCUGCAACUCGACUGCGUGAAGUCGGAAUCGCUAGUAAUCGCGGAUCAGAAUGCCGCGGUGAAUACGUUCCCGGGCCUUGUACACACCGCCCGUCACACCAUGGGAGUUUGUUGCACCAGAAGUAGGUAGUCUAACCGCAAGGAGGACGCUUACCACGGUGUGGCCGAUGACUGGGGUGAAGUCGUAACAAGGUAGGCGUAGAUGA
rnacentral:rRNA from 1 species